AAGCGAAGAGAGCCAGGGCACCGCCUCCAUCUUGGCCAAUGGGCGUUACUAAAACUGCCUGUUGCGGGGGAGGGAACAGGGCUGUGCCAGGAGGGGUUCGUCGCCAUAUUGGCCCUUCUCAGGGGACGUCUUUACAGUCACUAGGUGGUAUCUUCAACGGCUCAGCAAGUGUCAGGGCCAAGAAACUCGAGGCGCAGUUAUCACUCGCCACAGGGCUCGUUUGAGUCUUCCUUUAAGGACCCUUAAAAGCACUUCUCAAAUCUGACGGCUCCCAGGCGAGCCCAGAGGCAGGCGGAUGCCUCUGAACGUGGGUGUAAACCCUGACGGCGCGGGCGCUCACCCCGUCAGCCAAUACUGAACUGACCAAUUUGCAAGCACAAGACAGAAUUCAGAACCUGGCCAGUGAAGGAUGUCCUCAACAUAUGCUUAUUGAUGGUCCCCAAAAGCAAGUGGACAUGAUCCGUCUUGUCUGUUUCACCUGUGAAAACCUGAACAAAUUUUGUUUAGACUAAACACAAAAUACAAAACCAAAAAUGAAUAAACUUAUUUCAAGACCU